AUUCGAAGCAACGCGAAGAACCUUACCAGGUCUUGACAUCCUUUGACCACUCUAGAGAUAGAGCUUCCCCUUCGGGGGCAAAGUGACAGGUGGUGCAUGGUUGUCGUCAGCUCGUGUCGUGAGAUGUUGGGUUAAGUCCCGCAACGAGCGCAACCCUUAUUGUUAGUUGCCAUCAUUUAGUUGGGCACUCUAGCGAGACUGCCGGUGACAAACCGGAGGAAGGUGGGGAUGACGUCAAAUCAUCAUGCCCCUUAUGACCUGGGCUACACACGUGCUACAAUGGGAAGUACAACGAGUUGCGAAGUCGCGAGGCUAAGCUAAUCUCUUAAAGCUUCUCUCAGUUCGGAUUGUAGGCUGCAACUCGCCUACAUGAAGCCGGAAUCGCUAGUAAUCGCGGAUCAGCACGCCGCGGUGAAUACGUUCCCGGGCCUUGUACACACCGCCCGUCACACCACGAGAGUUUGUAACACCCGAAGUCGGUGAGGUAACCUUUUUGGAGCCAGCCGCCUAAGGUGGGAUAGAUGAUUGGGGUGAAGUCGUAACAAGGUAGCCGUAUCGGAAGGUGCGGCUGGAUCACCUCCUUUCUAAGGAA
rnacentral:rRNA from 1 species